UACGAAGGGAGCUAGCGUUGUUCGGAAUCACUGGGCGUAAAGCGCACGUAGGCGGAUUUGUCAGUCAGGGGUGAAAUCCCGGGGCUCAACCUCGGAACUGCCUUUGAUACAGCAAGUCUUGAGUUCGAGAGAGGUGGGUGGAAUUCCUAGUGUAGAGGCGAAAUUCGUAGAUAUUAGGAAGAACACCGGUGGCGAAGGCGGCCCACUGGCUCGAUACUGACGCUGAGGUGCGAAAGCGUGGGGAGCAAACAGG
rnacentral:rRNA from 1 species